GGGUCAGUAGGUUGGUCGUGCCACCGGUACGUACUGGUCUCACUGAUUCCUCCUUCCUGAAGAACCGUAAUGCCAUUAAUUUGGUGUUGCGGGGAAACAGGACUGUUACUUUGAAAAAAUUAGAGUGUUUAAAGCAAGCUAACGCUUGAAUACAUUAGCAUGGAAUGAUGAAAUAGGACGAUCGAUCCUAUUUUGUUGGUUUCUAGGAUUGACGCA
rnacentral:rRNA from 1 species